GAUGAACGCUGGCGGCGUGCUUAACACAUGCAAGUCGAACGGAAAGGCCCUGCUUUUGUGGGGUGCUCGAGUGGCGAACGGGUGAGUAACACGUGAGUAACCUGCCCUUGACUUUGGGAUAACUUCAGGAAACUGGGGCUAAUACCGGAUAGGAGCUCCUGCUGCAUGGUGGGGGUUGGAAAGUUUCGGCCGUUGGGGAUGGAUUCGCGGCUUAUCAGCUUGUUGGUGGGGUAGUGGCUUACCAAGGCUUUGACGGGUAGCCGGCCUGAGAGGGUGACCGGCCACAUUGGGACUGAGAGUCGGCCCAGACUCCUACGGGAGGCAGCAGGGGGGAAUAUUGCACAAUGGGCGGAAGCCUGAUGCAGCAACGCCGCGUGCGGGAUGACGGCCUUCGGGGUGUAAACCGCUUUCGACUGUGACGAAGCGUGAGUGACGGUAAUGGGUAAAGAAGCACCGGCUAACUACGUG
rnacentral:rRNA from 1 species